GACAGAGGGGGCAAGCGUUGCUCGGAAUCACUGGGCGUAAAGGGCGCGUAGGCGGGAUGGCAAGUCGGUCGUGAAAUCCCUCGGCUCAACCGAGGAGCGUCGGCCGAUACUGCCAUUCUUGAGGGAUGCAGAGGAGCCUGGAAUUCCCGGUGUAGCGGUGAAAUGUGUAGAGAUCGGGAGGAACACCGGUGGCGAAGGCGGGGCUCUGGGCAUCUCCUGACGCUGAGGCGCGAAAGCGUGGGGAGCAAACGGG
rnacentral:rRNA from 1 species